GCAGUGGUGGUUCAGCGGUAGAAUUCCCGCCUUCCGUGAGGGAGACCUGGGUUCGACUCUCAGCCAACGUA
rnacentral:tRNA from 1 species